rnacentral:rRNA from 1 species
UACGUAGGGUGCAAGCGUUGUCCGGAAUUAUUGGGCGUAAAGAGCUCGUAGGCGGCUCGUCGCGUCGGCUGUGAAAACCUGGGGCUCAACCCCGGGCCUGCAGCCGAUACGGGCGAGCUAGAAUUCGGUAGGGGAGACUGGAAUUCCUGGUGUAGCGGUGAAAUGCGCAGAUAUCAGGAGGAACACCGGUGGCGAAGGCGGGUCUCUGGGCCGUUAUUGACGCUGAGGAGCGAAAGCGUGGGGAGCGAACAGG